rnacentral:rRNA from 1 species
UACAGAGGUCUCAAGCGUUGUUCGGAUUCAUUGGGCGUAAAGGGCGCGUAGGUGGCGUGAUAAGGGUGUGGUGAAAGCCCGGGGCUCAACCCCGGGUCUGCCAUGCCGACUGUCAGGCUCGAGUGCUGUAGGGGCAGGCGGAAUUCCGGGUGUAGCGGUGGAAUGCGCAGAUAUCAGGAGGAACACCGGUGGCGAAGGCGGAUCUCUGGGCCUUACCUGACGCUCAGGUGCGAAAGCUAGGGGAGCGAACAGG